rnacentral:rRNA from 1 species
CGGCGACCGGCGCACGGGUGAGUAACACGUAUGCAACCUGCCCUCUUCAGGGGGACAACCUUCCGAAAGGGAGGCUAAUCCCGCGUAUAUCGGUUUCGGGCAUCCGAGAUCGAGGAAAGAUUCAUCGGAAGAGGAUGGGCAUGCGGCGCAUUAGCUAGACGGCGGGGUAACGGCCCACCGUGGCGACGAUGCGUAGGGGUUCUGAGAGGAAGGUCCCCCACACUGGUACUGAGACACGGACCAGACUCCUACGGGAGGCAGCAG